rnacentral:tRNA from 1 species
GGGCGUAGCUCAGGGGUAGAGCACAACCUUGCCAAGGUUGGGGUCGAGAGUUCGAAUCUCUUCGCCC